rnacentral:tRNA from 1 species
GGCCACGUAGCUCAGUUGGUUAGAGCGAGGGAUUCAUAAACCCUAGGUCACUGGUUCGACUCCAGUCGUGGCCA